rnacentral:rRNA from 1 species
UACGUAGGGUGCGAGCGUUGUCCGGAAUUAUUGGGCGUAAAGCGCGCGUAGGCGGCUUUGCAAGUCGGGUGUGAAAGCCCUCAGCUCAACUGAGGAAGGGCGCCCGAAACUGCAGAGCUUGAGUGCCGGAGAGGGUGGCGGAAUUCCCCAAGUAGAGGUGAAAUUCGUAGAUAUGGGGAGGAACACCGGUGGCGAAGGCGGCCACCUGGACGGUAACUAACGCUGAGGCGCGAAAGCGUGGGUAGCAAACAGG